GUGCUCCCUUUGGCAGCACAUAUACUAAAAUUGGAAUGAUACAGAGAAAAUUAGCAUGGCCUCUGAGCAAGAAUGACACACAAAUUCAUGAAGUAUUACAUAUCUAA
ensembl:snRNA U6 U6 spliceosomal RNA